CGCCUAAAAUCCGAACGGUCCAGAUCGAUCCUGCCUCCACCCCCCUCAAUCAGCGCACCGCUCCCGCACCUCCGCCCUCCGCCAGAACACCGCUCCCGCACCUCCGCCAUCACCGCUCCGCUCCGUAUCAGCCGCCGCGCCGUCCUCUGCAUCGCCUGUCCUCCGCCACCCCGCCGCACGAGGUGCUCCCGUCGCCAGGUAGCCGCCGCGCCGUCAUCUGCAUCGCCUGUCUCCACCGAUCCCCUCCGCACGAGGUGCUCCCGUCGCCAGGUCGCCGCCGACGCCUUCCGCGGUGAUCCGAUCUGCCAUCGAAUCCCCGCCGCCGGCUCGUCCUCCAAGAUCCCCAUCGGCCUGUCCUCCGCCUCCUCGCCGCACGAAUUCCUCACGUCGCCAGGUCGCCGCCACCGAUCUGCUCCACCGAUCCCCGCCGCACGAGGUGCUCCCGUCGCCAGGUCGCCGCCGACGCCUUCCGCGGUGAUCCGAUCCCCGUCGCCUGUCCGCGGUGAUCAGAAAUUUCAUCGCAGCGCCUCCGCCAGGGCAGAGCAGUUGAGAAGGUAGAAUCUCCAAUUCAAGGGGCUCUGCGCCUUGUUCCUCAACAAGAGAAGGGCUAAACUGAAUUGGAGAAAGAUGUUCCGAAGUACUGUGAUAAGAAUUCAAAUAGUGUGAAGUGCAGGAAACCAAGGAGGGAUCCAGUCCCUGUUCGCUGCCGCCCCUCAUCUCCGCAUCCACGCCGCCAGAUCGCCGUCGCUCGGAUUCUGGUACAUAACGUCGCCAAUCUGCUCUCCGCUGCACAACUCCAUUGCAUCUCUCGCCAGUCUGCUCCGCCAACACGCUGUUCCACCUCCUCCGCCUCAAGCGCCACCACGACCAACACAAAUCCCCUACGCCAGUUAAUUUUUAAAAAACAUUGAGGUGCGCAUGGACGCAAAUCGGGAGGACGGUGGAGCUCGCAAAUCCCUCGGAGAUAUAACAAACCACCGUCAAGGUGUACAUAUAAUGGAUAGUUCGUUGUGUACAACGCAGGUCUUGUCCUUUUCAGUAUGACUAUAGUGUUAAUAAAAAAAUGCAGGUCAUGUGGAUCAAUUUGGGCUAUCCAAUGAGUCUCAGCGUAAAAAGGAAAGAAACUUCAAACAACGUAUAUAUCGUGCAAAUCUGGAGGCUAAGAAGAAAUGUAGUACAAGUCCUAUGCAAACAACGCAUGUGUCAGAGUAUGAAGAAUGUGAUAGUGCCGAGGUCAAUGUUGCUGAAAUUGCCACCUCAACAAAGAGGGAAAAAAAUAACAGCUAUCUACGUGAGUGGCGUGCAAGAAAUAGAGCAAAGUCGAGUGUUGUUAAUAGCACUGUAACAUCCGUCAAUCCAACUCAAGCAACAACUACAUCUGAAAUAAACCAGAGUGAAGGGGGUGUGGUAGGGACAAGUGAACUUUCUGCAAAGAAAAAGAGAGAGGAUACAAACAAGUAUCUUCGUGAAUGGCGUGCAAGAAAGAAGGCCAAAUCAACAGAUGGAUGCAAUACUGUAUCUUCUGGCACGCCAAUGCAGUCAACUAUUAUGACCCCCGAAGAACACAAUGAAGAUGGUGCUGUUCAGCGAUCUUCAAUCUACCCUAUAGUUAAACAAAUACUUUCACUCAUUCUUUCAUUCAUCACUCAACGUCCAGAUUAUCCCCAAGAGAUCUAACGUCCGGGAUAGCAUCCGCCUUCCCUCACCCCUACGCCCCCGAAAUCGUCGCACUUUCCUUCCAAUCGCGAAAUCCAUCUCCUCCGCCAGUUCUCUCGCCCAUCGCGCCUAUGCACGUCGCCGCCCCCGUCGUCUCCCGGCGCUCGCGCCCCCACCCGCCGUCCAGACCGCAUCGCCCACUCCGCCGUCGCACGCCGCACACCACACCCGCCCUCCCACCCCGCCAGUUGUCCCCUCCACUCACCACUCCGCCGUUCAUCGCCCUUCUCGCUGGUCUCCUCCGCACCGCCCCCGAUCUUCACCAGGAACUCCGCCUCGUCGGUCUCCUCCGUGCCGCCCCCAAUCUCCGGCUCGUCGACUGUCUCCGUGCAACCACCAAUCUCUGCUUUCAGAACAGUGUCGCCCCAUCCUCGAUCUGAUUCGCCGAAAUUAAGGAUUAGGGAUUAUUGAUACAACAUCCGGCAACCUCCACCUCGGGGGGCCACACCGGCGCCGCCGAAGCCCACCCUCGACAUCUCCGUGCCGCCACCGACCGUCGAGGACAACACCAGUGACACCACGCCGAUCUCCUCCGUGGCCACUACCCACCGGCGCUGCCACACGCACCGCCACCACCACAUUGCUGCGGCGUCUCCCAACCCAUGUUCGUCUCAUCUCCACCGUCUAUCCCCAAACUGUAU